UUCCGGUUGAUCCCGCCGGAGGCUACUGCUAUUGGAGUCCGACUAAGCCAUGCGAGUCGAGGUGGGCUUUUGCCCACCGGCGGACGGCUCAGUAACACGUAGACAACCUACCCUCGGGAGGGGGAUAACCCUGGGAAACUGGGGCUAAACCCCCAUAGGGCACAGGUGCUGGAAUGGCCCUGCGUCGAAAUUCCGAAAGGAGCCCGAGGAUGGGUCUGCGGCCUAUCAAGUUGUAGUGGGGGUAACGGCCCCACUAGCCUACGACGGGUACGGGCCCUGGGAGGGGGAGCCCGGAGAUGGACUCUGAGACAAGAGUCCAGGCCCUACGGGGCGCAGCAGGCGCGAAACCUCCGCAAUGCUCGAAAGAGCGACGGGGGGACUCCCAGUGCCUACGCUUUGCGUAGGCUGUUCCCGAGCCUAAAAAGCUCGGGGAGUAAGGGCUGGGUAAGACGGGUGCCAUCUGCAGCGGCAGCAAAGAUUUGACUUGCCGUUGCAAGGCAUAAGCCGCCGCGGUAAUACCCGCAGCCCGAGUGGUGGCCACUUUUAUUGGGCUUAAAGCGUCCGUAGCCGGCCCGGUAAAUGCCUGGGUAAAUCGUGGGGCCCAACCUCACGAAUUCCGGGCAGACUGCCGGGCUAGGGACCGGAGGAAGGAGAGGGUACUCCAGGGGUAGGGGUGAAAUC
rnacentral:rRNA from 1 species